GGGGAAUUUUCCGCAAUGGGCGAGAGCCUGACGGAGCAACGCCGCGUGAGGGAGGAAGGCCUGUGGGUUGUAAACCUCUUUUCUCAGGGAAGAAGUUCUGACGGUACCUGAGGAAUCAGCAUCGGCUAACUCCGUGCCAGCAGCCGCGGUAAGACGGAGGAUGCAAGCGUUAUCCGGAAUUAUUGGGCGUAAAGCGUCCGUAGGUGGUUUAGAAAGUCAGUUGUUAAAGCCCACAGCUCAACUGUGGAUCGGCAAUUGAAACUACUAGACUUGAGUGUGGUAGGGGUAGAGGGAAUUCCUAGUGUAGCGGUGAAAUGCGUAGAUAUUAGGAAGAACACCAGUGGCGAAGGCGCUCUACUGGGCCAUAACUGACACUGAUGGACGAAAGCUAGGGGAGCGAAAGGGAUUAGAUACCCCUGUAGUCCUAGCUGUAAACGAUGGACACUAGGUGUUGGCCGUAUCGACCCGGUCAGUAUCGAAGCAAACGCGUUAAGUGUCCCGCCUGGGGAGUACGCACGCAAGUGUGAAACUCAAAGGAAUUGACGGGGGCCCGCACAAGCGGUGGAGUAUGUGGUUUAAUUCGAUGCAACGCGAAGAACCUUACCAGGGAUUGACAUCCUACGAAGACUCUUGAAAGGGAGUUGUGCCUUCGGGAACGUAGAGACAGGUGGUGCAUGGCUGUCGUCAGCUCGUGUCGUGAGAUGUUGGGUUAAGUCCCGCAACGAGCGCAACCCUCGUCCUUAGUUGCCAUCAUUCAGUUGGGCACUUUAAGGAGACUGCCGGUGACAAACCGGAGGAAGGUGGGGAUGACGUCAAGUCAUCAUGCCCCUUACAUCCUGGGCUACACACGUACUACAAUGCAACGGACAAAGGGCAGCCAACCAGCGAUGGUGAGCUAAUCUCAUAAACCGUUGCUCAGUUCAGAUUGCAGGCUGCAACUCGCCUGCAUGAAGGCGGAAUCGCUAGUAAUCGCAGGUCAGCAUACUGCGGUGAAUACGUUCCCGGGCCUUGUACACACCGCCCGUCACACCAUGGAAGUUGGCCACGCCCGAAGUCGUUACCCCAACCUUAGGGAGGGGGACGCCGAAGGCAGGGCUGAUGACUGGGGUGAAGUCGUAACAAGGUAACC
rnacentral:rRNA from 1 species